rnacentral:rRNA from 1 species
GGGUUGUGAGGUUAAGCGACUAAGCGUACACGGUGGAUGCCCUGGCAGUCAGAGGCGAUGAAGGACGUGCUAAUCUGCGAUAAGCGUCGGUAAGGUGAUAUGAACCGUUAUAACCGGCGAUUUCCGAAUGGGGAAACCCAGUGUGAUUCGUCACACUAUCAUUAACUGAAUCCAUAGGUUAAUGAGGCGAACCGGGGGAACUGAAACAUCUAAGUACCCCGAGGAAAAGAAAUCAACCGAGAUUCCCCCAGUAGCGGCGAGCGAACGGGGAGCAGCCCAGAGCCUGAAUCAGUGUGUGUGUUAGUGGAAGCGUCUGGAAAGGCGCGCGAUACAGGGUGACAGCCCCGUACACAAAAAUGCACAUGCUGUGAGCUCGAUGAGUAGGGCGGGACACGUGGUAUCCUGUCUGAAUAUGGGGGGACCAUCCUCCAAGGCUAAAUACUCCUGACUGACCGAUAGUGAACCAGUACCGUGAGGGAAAGGCGAAAAGAACCCCGGCGAGGGGAGUGAAAAAGAACCUGAAACCGUGUACGUACAAGCAGUGGGAGCACGCUUAGGCGUGUGACUGCGUACCUUUUGUAUAAUGGGUCAGCGACUUAUAUUCUGUAGCAAGGUUAACCGAAUAGGGGAGCCGAAGGGAAACCGAGUCUUAACUGGGCGUUAAGUUGCAGGGUAUAGACCCGAAACCCGGUGAUCUAGCCAUGGGCAGGUUGAAGGUUGGGUAACACUAACUGGAGGACCGAACCGACUAAUGUUGAAAAAUUAGCGGAUGACUUGUGGCUGGGGGUGAAAGGCCAAUCAAACCGGGAGAUAGCUGGUUCUCCCCGAAAGCUAUUUAGGUAGCGCCUCGUGAAUUCAUCUCCGGGGGUAGAGCACUGUUUCGGCAAGGGGGUCAUCCCGACUUACCAACCCGAUGCAAACUGCGAAUACCGGAGAAUGUUAUCACGGGAGACACACGGCGGGUGCUAACGUCCGUCGUGAAGAGGGAAACAACCCAGACCGCCAGCUAAGGUCCCAAAGUCAUGGUUAAGUGGGAAACGAUGUGGGAAGGCCCAGACAGCCAGGAUGUUGGCUUAGAAGCAGCCAUCAUUUAAAGAAAGCGUAAUAGCUCACUGGUCGAGUCGGCCUGCGCGGAAGAUGUAACGGGGCUAAACCAUGCACCGAAGCUGCGGCAGCGACGCUUAUGCGUUGUUGGGUAGGGGAGCGUUCUGUAAGCCUGCGAAGGUGUGCUGUGAGGCAUGCUGGAGGUAUCAGAAGUGCGAAUGCUGACAUAAGUAACGAUAAAGCGGGUGAAAAGCCCGCUCGCCGGAAGACCAAGGGUUCCUGUCCAACGUUAAUCGGGGCAGGGUGAGUCGACCCCUAAGGCGAGGCCGAAAGGCGUAGUCGAUGGGAAACAGGUUAAUAUUCCUGUACUUGGUGUUACUGCGAAGGGGGGACGGAGAAGGCUAUGUUGGCCGGGCGACGGUUGUCCCGGUUUAAGCGUGUAGGCUGGUUUUCCAGGCAAAUCCGGAAAAUCAAGGCUGAGGCGUGAUGACGAGGCACUACGGUGCUGAAGCAACAAAUGCCCUGCUUCCAGGAAAAGCCUCUAAGCAUCAGGUAACAUCAAAUCGUACCCCAAACCGACACAGGUGGUCAGGUAGAGAAUACCAAGGCGCUUGAGAGAACUCGGGUGAAGGAACUAGGCAAAAUGGUGCCGUAACUUCGGGAGAAGGCACGCUGAUAUGUAGGUGAAGUCCCUCGCGGAUGGAGCUGAAAUCAGUCGAAGAUACCAGCUGGCUGCAACUGUUUAUUAAAAACACAGCACUGUGCAAACACGAAAGUGGACGUAUACGGUGUGACGCCUGCCCGGUGCCGGAAGGUUAAUUGAUGGGGUUAGCGCAAGCGAAGCUCUUGAUCGAAGCCCCGGUAAACGGCGGCCGUAACUAUAACGGUCCUAAGGUAGCGAAAUUCCUUGUCGGGUAAGUUCCGACCUGCACGAAUGGCGUAAUGAUGGCCAGGCUGUCUCCACCCGAGACUCAGUGAAAUUGAACUCGCUGUGAAGAUGCAGUGUACCCGCGGCAAGACGGAAAGACCCCGUGAACCUUUACUAUAGCUUGACACUGAACAUUGAGCCUUGAUGUGUAGGAUAGGUGGGAGGCUUUGAAGUGUGGACGCCAGUCUGCAUGGAGCCGACCUUGAAAUACCACCCUUUAAUGUUUGAUGUUCUAACGUUGACCCGUGAUCCGGGUUGCGGACAGUGUCUGGUGGGUAGUUUGACUGGGGCGGUCUCCUCCUAAAGAGUAACGGAGGAGCACGAAGGUUGGCUAAUCCUGGUCGGACAUCAGGAGGUUAGUGCAAUGGCAUAAGCCAGCUUGACUGCGAGCGUGACGGCGCGAGCAGGUGCGAAAGCAGGUCAUAGUGAUCCGGUGGUUCUGAAUGGAAGGGCCAUCGCUCAACGGAUAAAAGGUACUCCGGGGAUAACAGGCUGAUACCGCCCAAGAGUUCAUAUCGACGGCGGUGUUUGGCACCUCGAUGUCGGCUCAUCACAUCCUGGGGCUGAAGUAGGUCCCAAGGGUAUGGCUGUUCGCCAUUUAAAGUGGUACGCGAGCUGGGUUUAGAACGUCGUGAGACAGUUCGGUCCCUAUCUGCCGUGGGCGCUGGAGAACUGAGGGGGGCUGCUCCUAGUACGAGAGGACCGGAGUGGACGCAUCACUGGUGUUCGGGUUGUCAUGCCAAUGGCACUGCCCGGUAGCUAAAUGCGGAAGAGAUAAGUGCUGAAAGCAUCUAAGCACGAAACUUGCCCCGAGAUGAGUUCUCCCUGACUCCUUGAGAGUCCUGAAGGAACGUUGAAGACGACGACGUUGAUAGGCCGGGUGUGUAAGCGCAGCGAUGCGUUGAGCUAACCGGUACUAAUGAACCGUGAGGCUUAACCUUACAACGCCGAAGGUGUUU